rnacentral:piRNA from 1 species
UGGAUGGAACCUCCAGUUUUGAAUGACCUU